rnacentral:misc_RNA from 1 species
GAGGAAGAAGAAGAAGAAGAAGAGUCGAAUAUUUUGUCACUGAGUGAAAAGCCAGAGAGGAACAUGGUGCUGCUCGACGACUACGAGAUGGAAGAACUUGACUACGCUUCUGACCCUAAUCAUCGAAGCGGAUAUGUGGCUGUACUUGGCAAGCCAAAUGUUGGAAAGAGUACGCUUUCGAACCAAAUGAUAGGCCAGAAGUUGUCAAUUGUUACGGAUAAACCUCAGACUACCAGGCAUCGGAUUCUUGGUAUAUGUUCUGGUCCUCAGUACCAGAUGAUACUUUAUGAUACACCUGGUGUUAUUCAGAAGCAAAUGCAUAAGUUGGACUCUAUGAUGAUGAAGAAUGUCCGUAGUGCUGCCAUCAAUGCGGACUGUGUACUAGUGAUUGUUGAUGCAUGUAAAGCGCCUGAAAGGAUCGAUGGAGUGUGGGAAGAAGGUGUGGGAAGCCUUAAAGAUAAGCCGCCUACAUUGCUAGUAUUGAAUAAGAAAGACUUGAUCAAACCUGGUGAAAUUGCGAAGAAACUUGAGUGGUAUGAGAAAUGUACAGAUGUUGAUGAGGUCAUUCCUGUGAGUGCAAAAUAUGGACAUGGAAUGGAAGACGUCAAGGAUUGGAUACUGUCAAAACUUCCAACUGGGCCAGCUUAUUAUCCAAAGGACAUUGUCAGUGAACAUCCAGAGAGAUUUUUUGUAGCUGAAAUUGUAAGAGAAAAAAUCUUUAUGCAAUUUCGCAAUGAAGUUCCUUAUGCAUGUCAGGUCAAUGUGGUGAAUUACAAAAGUAGGUCCACAGCAAAAGAUUUUAUACAAGUAGAGAUAGUUGUUGAGAAGAACUCUCAGAAGAUCAUCAUCAUCGGAAAAGAAGGAAGGGCUCUGAAAUUACUUGCAACAGCUGCGCGGCUUGACAUUGAAGAUUUCUUGCAAAAGAAAGUUUAUCUCGAGGUGCAAGAUUUUCACUAACUGCUCAAUAACAAUCAAUUAUAUAAUAUUCAAGUUGAUUUGUUAAGAUGCCAUAUCGUACAUUGUUAUUGCAUUUUCAACUUGUAUUUUCAAGCAUGAGUCUUUAUUUUGUGAAUGAAAAGGAUUAUUCACCUUACUGCAAUUCAUUAUCCCAACAGAUAGAAGUGAAAGUUAAAGAGAAUUGGCGGCAAGAUGAACGGCUUUUAAACUACUAUGGCUAUGGAGGGAAAAUUCGAGCAUUAUAAUGUGAGUUCUAUCAAAUUCAGAAGCUUUCCACUGUUGAAUGCAAUUGAAUUUGCGAUAUCAAUGUAACCAUAACAAAUAAUUUUGUCUUUUUGGUUUUCCAAUUACCAUGGAAGCGUUCCAUCAGUGAUCUCGGUACUUGGUAGCUAGAGCCCCUAGAAGCAUGGGGCUAAAUCACUUCCGCCUCUGGUAACGCCACUACACCAGCCGUAUCUUCUGGGGUUGAUCGGUGAUGUGGCUUUAAAUGUUCUUGUUGUGAAACUUGGGCCACGUGAUUGGACCUCAGUGGGUUGCACACCUCUAAAUUUGAGGCCCAUUUUGGAGCUGAUCUUCAAAGUGCCAGCGAAGGGCUGCUUAGCUAUGCUCUAUAUCAAGUUGGAAUAAGAACACAUCUAUGUCCAAAGCUCCAUUUUGCUACUGAACCUAAAAUUCUUUCCAAGUUAUAAUUGUACCUUUCUAUUUGUAUUCAUUAUAUUUGCAUAGAUAAACAAAUGGAAUCAAAUGCAAAUUUCUUCCGUCUUUUAUUGUGAAAAUUUUGGAACACAGGUAAC